GCUGACGAGUGGCGGACGGGUGAGUAAUGUCUGGGAAACUGCCUGAUGGAGGGGGAUAACUACUGGAAACGGUAGCUAAUACCGCAUAACGUCGCAAGACCAAAGAGGGGGACCUUCGGGCCUCUUGCCAUCGGAUGUGCCCAGAUGGGAUUAGCUAGUAGGUGGGGUAAAGGCUCACCUAGGCGACGAUCCCUAGCUGGUCUGAGAGGAUGACCAGCCACACUGGAACUGAGACACGGUCCAGACUCCUACGGGAGGCAGCAGUGGGGAAUAUUGCACAAUGGGCGCAAGCCUGAUGCAGCC
rnacentral:rRNA from 1 species